UACGGAGGGUGCAAGCGUUGCUCGGAAUUAUUGGGCGUAAAGGGUAGGUAGGUGGUCUCGUUUGUCUGAGGUGAAAGCCCUGAGCUUAACUCAGGAAGUGCCUCAGAAACGGCGAGACUGGAGUCCUAGAGAGGGUCGUGGAAUUCCCGGUGUAGCGGUGAAAUGCGUAGAUAUCGUAAGGAAGACCAGUGGCGAAGGCGGGUCUCUGGACAGUUCCUGACGCUGAGGCACGAAGGUCAGGGGAGCGAAACGGGG
rnacentral:rRNA from 1 species